UAUUUGAUUGCUCAAGACACCCAAAGCGAUCUUUCUAUCACUUAGAUUGGAUUGUUUACGACGAAGCCAAAGUUGCGAUUGUAGAAAGCUGGAGAAAAUGUGAUAUAGGAAUGCUUUUGGACUGCUAUGCUUUGUAGAUAAUUGAGCACUUUCUCUUUUCUUCUCUGAAUGUAUAGAGAAGCAUUUUUAAUCAUUUAGGAACGACGUGCUUUGCGAAAAUUGGUAGUUUAAGGUACCUUAGAGUUCCUGAACCAGGUAACUCUACUUGCAUGACCAACAAAAAGAACAACAACAACAACAACAACAACAACAACAACAACAACAACAACAAAGCCUUUUCCCACUAAGUGGGGUCGGCUAUAUGAAUCCUAGAACGCCAUUGCGCUCGGUUUUGUGUCAUGUCCUCCGUUAGAUCCAAGUACUCGAAGUCUUUUCUUAGAGUCUCUUCCAAAGUUUUCCUAGGUCUUCCUCUACCCCUUCGGCCCUGAACCUCUGUCCCGUAGUCACAUCUUCGAACCGGAGCGUCAGUCGGCCUUCUUUGCCCAUGUCCAAAUCACCGGAACCGAUUUUCUCUCAUCUUUCCUUCAAUUUCGGCUACUCCUACUUUACCUCGGAUAUCCUCAUGCCCAAUCUUAUCAUUUCUCGUGUGCCCACACAUCCCAUGAAGCAUCCUCAUCUCCGCUACACCCAUUUUGUGUACGUGUUGAUGCUUCACCGUCCAACAUUCUGUGCCAUACAACAUCGUUGGCCUCAUUGUCGUCCUAUAAAAUUUUCCUUUAAGCUUCAAUGGCCUACGACGGUCACAUAACACGCCGGAUGCACUCUUACACUUCAUCCAUCCAGCUCGUAUUCUAUGGUUGAGAUCACCAUCUAAUUCUCCGUUCUCUUGCAAGAUAGAUCCUAGGCAGCAAAAACGGUCGCUUUUUGUGAUCUUCGCUAGAUUGCUCCGGUCAUUAGUGUGGAUAAGUAUAUAAAUAAGAGAUAGGAAAGCAAACACAAGAUGUACGUGGUUCACCCAGAUUGGCUACGUCCACGGAAUAGAAGAGUUCUCAUUAAUUGUGAAGGGUUUACACAAGUACAUAGGUUCAAGCUCUCCUUUAGUGAGUACAAGUGAAUGAUUUAGUACAAAUGACAUUAGGAAAUAUUGUGAGAGAAUGAUCUCGUAAUCACGAAACUUCUAAGUAUCGGAGUGUGGUAUCGUCUUGACUUGCCUUAUCUGUCUCAUAGGUAGAUGUGGCAUCUUCUCUGGAAGUACUCUUCCUCCAUCCAGGGGUGGUAUCUUUAACUGGUGGAGAUGCACAAGGUAAUGUAUCAAUUUCACUUGAAGCUUACUUGUAGUUUCAGGCUUGGUCAAGCGCGAUACAAACCAUGUAGUAGGAGUCCCCCAAGUCGCCGAGCUAGGGGAUCUGCUGAAAGAGGUGACAAACAAGGUAAGCAAUCAGAGCUCCGGCUGAUUAUUCACCUUCUCCCCAUCUUGCAGCAGCAUGAAGGAUAAAGAGAAGAAAAAUGAGAAGAGAUGAUAUGGGAUACUUUUACUUUUGAAGAAGUAACUUUCCACAGGCUUAUUCUUGAACUGAGCUGGAGGGUUUUCUGGUUUCCUCCAGAGCCGACUGAAGAAUUUGAGGGUCAAAACAAGUCCAUCAAAUCUAGAGUACGUUCGACCCUGCUGAUAUGGGAUACUUUUGCUUUUGACAGAGUAAUGGAUGUAUCGGCACGUAUGUUGUUACGCUUGUCUUCACAUGCUUCCUUGUAUCCUUCGCACUUGCCCUAUCUGUUCCUCAAGCAGAUGCGGUAUCUUCCCUGGAAACAUAAGAUGUUGAAGAUGAGUACUCGAGAGCAAUGCCAGGUAAGUAAUCAGGUAAGGGGUUCCAGGCAGUCAGUUCCUGGUUGGAAGCUUGAUUCCAAGUGACUGAUUGCUCUCUUUCUCCUUGUCUUGCAGGCAAAAACAAGGCCAAAGGAAAAGACAGGGAAAAAGCAUGAUAUGGGAUACUCUUGCUUUUAACCCUGAUGAUAUGAGAUAUUCUUGCUCUAGUAUAGCUUGUUUGCAGAGGUAUUAUCGGGGGGAAAGAAAGCUGAAUAUUUCGAAAGGCUUCGUUGGGAGUGCCCUCUCAGAUAUGAGGAAGGGUUGAGCAUUUUUGCAGGUCUGCCUGUCCGUUGGGGAUGGAGGUCGACAUAUAUAGGAGUCUCCCUAACAACAAGUAGUAAUGCUAUUCCUUUACCCUGCUUGGUCAUAGCACGGUAGUGGGAGCUGCCAACUUCACAUGUUUUAACUAUGUCAGAGCACUUUGAAAAAGUGGUCUGUGGUAUCUGGCUCUCGAGAAGUCUUCGACAGAAUGCCCAUAAUUUCCGCAAAGCUGAGUGUGCGUAUGACAGGUGCUGACAAGGCUAGAAAAGUAGGUGCCUCUUCGAUUUCUGAGAUCGGCCCUCGUGGUCUCUGAGCAGCCCAGCUUUUGAGAAAGCGAGCGUCUCUUCGAUUGAUUCGGAGAACGAUGCAUCUUCGAUUUUUAAGAAAGCAAUCAUGCUGGGGGUCUGGCUCUCGAGAUUCGGGGAGCAGUGUCACUUCGAUUUUUGAGAAAGUAAUCAUGUUGGGAGUCUGGCUCUUGAGAUUCGGAGGGCGGUGCCUCUUCGAUUUUGGAGCAAGCAAUCUUGUUGGGAGUGUUUUCUCGAAAGUGAGUAAAGGUUGGGCAUGUUUGCUAGUCUACCUUGCCACGAAGCACAGAGGUUGACACACAGGGAUUUUCCAAUUAUCCAGCAAUGGUACUGUUCCUUUACCCUCUCUUCGAUUUUUGAGAAAGUAGUCAUGUUGGGAGUCUGGCUCUCGAGAUUCAGAGGACGGUGCCUCUUCGAUUUUGGAGCAAGCAAUCUUAUUGGUAGUGUUUUCUCGAGUGUGAGUAAAGGUUGGGCAUGUUUGCUAGUCUACCUUGCCACGAAGCACAGAGGUUGACACACAGGGACUUUCCAAUUAUCCAGCAGUGGUACUGUUCCUUUACCCUUGUGGGUAAUAAUAUGGUAGCUAGACCUUCAAAAUUUAUGGGUCUAAACUUUGUUAGUGCUGUUUCUUUGCUAUUCUUUUACCUUUCUUGGUCAGAGCGAUAUAGUGGGAGCUGCAAGCUUUACGUGCUCAAUUUUGGCAGAGAACUUUGGCAAAGUUAUAUGUGGUACCCAUGAGCUAUUGUUGCGUGUGGGAAGUGGGUGAUUGAACAGUAAGAUUCAUGUGUUUUCUACUUCCUCAGAAGUCUUCGACAGAAUGCCCAUAAUUUCCGCAAAGCUGAGUGUGCGUGUGACAGGUGCUGACAAGGCUGACAAAGGCUGGAAAAGUAGGUGCCUCUUUGAUUUUUGAGAGAUCGGCCCUCGUGGUCUCUGAGGAGCCCAGCUUUUGAGAAAGCGAGAGCGCCUCUUCGAUUUCUGGGAUCGGCCUUCGUGGUCUUUGAGCAGCCUAACUUUUGAGAAAUCAAACGCCUCUUCGAUUUCUGAUAUCAACCCUCGUGGUCUCUAAGCAGCCCAGCUUUUGAGAAAGCAAACGCCUCUUCGAUUUCUGAGCAGGCGCCUCUUCGGUUUCUGAAGCUCCGUCGAGUGCAGAUUUUUAUAGGGGCUGGCAUUAAGUUCCAAAGCACACUUGAAUCUCCACCAGUAGAAGCUCCAUUCUUGCACUUCUAAGAUCUUGAUUUGUCCAACCUCUUCUCUCUUCAACACCUUUGAAAAUGUAUGGCCCAUCCGACCGUCGUUUUGACUUGAACCUUGUUGAAGAGGCAGCCCUGCCUUCUCCAUACAACAUAUGGCGCCCAUCAUUCGUCUCCCCUACUGGUCCUCUUACCGUUGGGGAUUCUGUGAUGAAGAAUGAUAUGACUGCUGCGGUGGUGGCCAGGAACCUUCUCACUCCCAAAGAUAACAGACUACUUUCCAAACGGUCUGAUGAGUUAGCUGUUAAGGAUUCGCUGGCUCUUAGUGUUCAGUGUGCAGGUUCUGUGUCUAAUAUGGCCCAACGCCUAUUUGCUCGAACCCGCCAAGUUGAAUCAUUGGCGGCUGAGGUGAUGAGUCUCAAACAGGAGAUUAGAGGGCUCAAGCAUGAGAAUAAACAGUUGCACCGGCUCGCACAUGACUAUGCUACAAACAUGAAGAGGAAGCUUGACCAGAUGAAGGAAACUGAUGGUCAGGUUUUACUUGAUCAUCAGAGAUUUGUGGGUUUGUUCGAAAGGCAUUUAUUGCCUUCGUCUUCUGGGGCUGUACCGCGUAAUGAAGCUCCAAAUGAUCAACCUCUGAUGCCUCCUCCUUCUAGGGUUCUGUCCAGUACUGAGGCUCUGAAUGAUCUCCCUCCGGUGUCUUCUCUUUCUGGGGCUCUACCGACUGCUGAGACUUCUCCUAAGCAACCCUUGUGAAGGCUCCCUCUUGUUUGUUUAUUUUGACUCAUGUAUAUGUACAUAUUUGUAGCUUGUCGGGGAUAUCAAUAAAUAAGUUUUCCUUCAUUUCAACGUAUUGUGUUAAAUACACCAAAACCUUCUUCGCUAAGUUCUUUGAAUUUUCUUUUGUUGAAGCUUGUAUGUUGAAGCUUUCUGAGUGAAGCAUGUAGGUUGGGGUAGUGUUCCCUUAAUUUCCCGAGUGAGGAAAACUUCUCGGUUGGAGACUUGGAAAAUCCAAGUCACUGAGUGGGAUCGGCUAUAUGAAUCUCAGAACGCCAUUGUGCUCGGUCCUGUGUCAUGUCCUUCGUUAGAUCCAAGUACUCUAAGUCUUUUCUUAGAGUCUCUUCCAAAGUUUUCCUAGGUCUUCCUCUACCCCUUCGGCCUUGAACCUCUGUCCCAUAGUCGCAUCUUCUAAUCGGUGCGUCAGUGGGCCUUCGUUGCACAUGUCCAAACCACCGUAACCGAUUUUCUCUCAUCUUGCCUUCAAUUUCGGCUACUCCUACUUUACCCCGGAUAUCCUCAUUCUUAAUCUUAUCCUUUCUCGUGUGCCCACACAUCCAACGAAGCAUCCUCAUCUCCGCUACACUCAUCUUCGCCACUCAUUUGGCAUCUUCUUCGUUUUCAAAAUCCUAUUGAAAAGGUCAGUGAGCCAUGUUAUACCUGUCUCUCCCAAAACUUUCCACACUUCGAUUGGUAUAUCGUCUGGGCCUACUGCUUUUCUAUGCUUCAUCUUCUUCAAAGCUACAACCACUUCUUCCUUCCGGAUUCUACGAUAAAAAGAGUAGUUUCUACACUCUUCUGAGUUACUCAACUCCCCUAAAGAAGCACUCCUUUCAUGUCCUUCAUUGAAAAGAUUAUGAAAAUAACCUUUCCAUCUGUCUUUAACCGCGUUCUCUGUAGCAAGAACCUUUCCAUCCGCAUCCUUGAUGCACCUCACUUGGUUUAGGUCCUUUGUCUUCUUUUCCCUUGCUCUAGCUAAUUUAUAGAUAUCCAACUCUCCUUCUUUGGUAUCUAGUCGCUUAUACAUAUCGUCAUAAGCCGCUAACUUAGCUUCUCUCACAGCUUUCUUCGCUUCUUGCUUCGCUUUUCUAUACCUUUCACCAUUUUCAUCGGUCCUAUCCUUGUAUAAGGCUUUACAACAUUCCUUCUUAGCCUUCACCUUUGUUUGUACCUCCUCAUUCCACCACCAAGAUUCCUUUUGGUGUGGGGUAAAACCUUUGGACUCUCCUAAUACCUCUUUUGCUACUUUUCGAAUACAACUAGCCAUAGAAUCCCACAUUUGGCUAGCUUCCCUCUCUUUAUCCCACACACACUGGGUGAUUACUUUCUCUUUGAAAAUGGCUUGUUUUUCUUCUUUUAGAUUCCACCAUCUAGUCAUUGGGCACUUCCAAGUCUUGUUCUUUUGUCUCUCUUUUGAUAUGUACAUCCAUCACCAACAAGCGAUGUUGAUUAGCCACGCUCUCUCCUGGUAUAACUUUGCAAUCCUUACAAGUUAUACGAUCCCCUUUCCUCAUUAGGAGAAAAUCUAUUUGUGUUUUUGACGACCCACUCUUGUAGGUGAUCACAUGUUCUUCUCUCUUCUUAAAGAAGGUGUUGGCUAAGAAAAAAUCAUAUGCCAUUGCAAAAUCCAAGAUAGCUUCCCCAUCCUCGUUUCUCUCCCCAAAACCAUGGCCACCAUGGAAACCUCCAUAGUUGCCUGUCUCCCUGCCCACGUGUCCAUUUAAAUCUCCUCCUAUAAGUAACUUCUCCGUCUGAGCAAUUCCUUGCACCAAGUCUCCAAGGUCUUCCCAAAAUUUCUCCUUCGAACUGGUAUCCAACCCUACUUGAGGUGCGUACGCACUAAUCACAUUGAUAAGUUCUUGUCCUAUUACAAUCUUGAUUGCCAUGAUUCUAUCUCCUACCUUCUUGACAUCUACAACAUCUUGUGUCAAGGUCUUGUCCACGAUGAUGCCAACACCGUUUCUCGUUCUAUUUGUGCCCGAAUACCAAAGUUUAAACCCUGAGUUUUCUAGAUCCUUUGCCUUACUACCAACCCACUUAGUUUCUUGUAGGCACAUAAUAUUUAUCCUUCUCCUCACCAUAACUUCCACUACAUCCAUAGAUUUUCCCGUUAAGGUUCCUAUAUUCCACGUUCCUAAACGCAUUUUGCUCUCUUGAACUCUACCCUUCUGUCCUAGCUUCUUCACCCUCCCCCGUCUAAUAGGAUCAAAGUACUUCUUUUGUGUGUCCCGUGUAAAGUUGAUAGGAGCAUAUGCUCCCAAACAACUUUGAGUGGAGUCGUUCGAAAAGAAGUUUCUAUGGCCCCCUUGCUCAUUUAACACUGCAUCCGGGUGCCGAUGGAGAUACAGCGACCCUUGCUCAUUUAUCACUGUGCUCGGGCCACACAGCGCGCCACUUACGGGUGACGCCCUAGCUUUAGCGCGAUUUUGUUCUGGAUUCAUUUUCAUAAGGAUUCGACGUGAUCAUGGAGUGCCGGCUGUCGACUACCUGACGCCCUCCCCCUCCUCCUUUAUCCGGGCUUGGGACCGGCAAUGUAAGAUACAUAGGCGGAGUUACCAACAAAAAGAACAAAACCGGAAGAAAAAGCUUAGUAAAUCCUUGAUUGCUGUUUUAUCUGCAUUUGUUAUCGUUGCUUACAGUUUUAUUUCGCAUGCAGUUCGUUGAUGUCAAAACGAUUGUUUCUCCAACAACUUUUGCCCGGCGUAGUUUGUCUUAUCUCAUGAGUGACAUGCCUCAGGAAGCUAUAAACGAUGCAAUGCAAGCACAAGUAGUUUCCCCAGUUUGGCACUUGCAUGUUAUCUUCAGGCUGUUGCCCUUUCGGCCCUUGGAAUGGAUGGUGAAGCUCAAGCAGCACUUAAGGAGGGUACUAUGCUUGAAUCCUAAAGGAGCAAAGCAGCUGGACAGAAGUGAAUAUCUAGGCCGGUCAACAAGGUGCCUAGUUUGCCACUUCUCUCGGUUUGGCUCUCAGCUUAUAUAGUCGUCGAUCAUAAGGUUUAAAACCACUGGGGCCAAAGCUUCAUCAUUUCCACGGUAUUAGAUUUUGUCAUCUUCCAGCAGUAUAUAUUGUAUUUGAAUUGUUUUAUUUGAUUUGAUUUCCCGUGCAUCAAAUGGUUCGAGUAUAUGAAUUACUUUGACAAAAUAGAAGGACAAAUAGAAAGUUGUAAAAAACACUGGUAGGGAUGAUGUCAUUCAGAAGCUUGUAAUUUGUGUACAGAAAGCAUAUAGGAUUCCUGGUGUAUUAUUUCUGAAUAAUAAUAAUAAUAAUAAUUACUUUGUUAAACGUCAUCUGAUCAUUGAUAGACAUACACACAAGACUGCAACCAAUCCAUUGAACUAAAAUUUACGACGAACAAAACAAUCAUAUGCAAUCCAGAAUUAAUUGAAUUUCUUUAGUUUAUAUCAUGAAUCAAAACAUAUACUGCAGAAAGGUCUUGAUAAAGUAAAUGUAGCAGUAAACUUCUUACAAACAAUUAACACUAACAAAUCAUCUGCCAAGGAGAUUUAGUAGUAAAGUUCUUUAUCAUGAUAACUCAAUACUUUGAAAACUUGUACAGAUAAUGGUCCGUGAAAGCUCUUUCAGUGAAGUGAAGCCGUCUACACUGUCUCAGAAGACGCUGUAGAUAAAAAUAAACAAGUACAUGCAAUUAAGUUUUGAAGAAGACAGUGAAAUUAAUCCGAAAGACUUUACAAAUAGAUGCAUGCAUAUCGCUUACAUUUAAGAAAGACAAAUAAAAUCACAUUUACAUACCAUUGCUUAAUUGAAGUGCUGCUUGAUGGAAAUCACCCUCACAUAAAACCAAUCUUUCAAGACAUUCAAGAACAUGAAGUACGAGUAUCUCCAUGGCCUUGCAAAAAUCAGACUGCCACAAACUCCCCAAAAUCCAACAAUAAAGACAAGUGCCAUGCUGAUAUAAAAUCCCCAUGUUAUAGGCUCAUCCUUUCUUCUUCGUUGCACAAGAUCAGAGUUUCCUGUUGAUCACCACACAUCUUUGGAAGUGGAGGUCCGCACAGCUGAGGAUUUCCAGCAUAAUCAGAGGGUUCAAAACUUUGGAGCUGAGUGCCAGUUGGAAUUUUGCCAAUAAAGUUGUUGUAUGACAAGUCCAAGACACUAAGACCAUAUAUCUGAGCAAGGCUUGUUGGAAUUCUGCCAUCUAUCUGGUUUCUUGACAAAUCAAGUGCAUCCAAUGAUUGCAACUUUCCAAUAUUUGCAGGUAACUCACCUGUCAAUCCGUUUCUCGACAGGUUUAAAGAAACUAACCCAACAAGAUCCGUGACUUCACUUGGAAUCUCCCCCGUUAAUCUAUUGCCUGAGAAAUCAAUUCUCUUCACAAGUCCCAAAGUGUUUUUGUACGAGUACAUUCUUCCCUUCCAUAUAAAUGUUGCAUCAUCCAUAUAAUUAACCGCAGAGAAAGUAUCAUCUCUUAGGUACGAAUGUUGAAGGGUCGGAGAUGAGUUUCCCAUCUGUGCCAGUAAAAUUGCUGAGGCAUUUUGGUAUUGUUCCAGAGAUGUUAUUCGCAGACACAUCCAAGUUUUGAGUGUUGGAUUGGCUCAAGACGCAGAGAGGGAAAGGACCCAGUAAAAGGUUAUUAAUUUGGUUCAAUAGGGAAGCUUUUAAUUUCGGGGUUUUGGGUUUUUGGAAUCUAGGUCGGGCUGUUUCUGUCGAUUUCAGCUUCGCCAAGCUGCCUCAGGUGCAGGCAUUUGAUCUCUGAAGUCCCGGCGUUGUAGAUGAUUGACAUCCAAAGAGAGAAUGUAAUUUUGGAUACAGAAAUUGACCAAUUAAUCAUGUACUUACAAGGAGGCAAAUUCAACCACCGUGUUCUGGAAAAAGUAAAUUUUGAUUCUGGUUAUUGAUAGAGAUUUUUUUAUUUUUCUGUUUAGGGUUCUGUUGAUUGCAUUGAAAUGUGGAUGUAAUGUCCCUUGAAUACCCUCAUCUGGGUAAUAUCGAAUCGUAUCGAAUUCUGCAUGUAUUGGGUCUGGCUAUGCUCUGUUUGGAUGCUCGGAAAGUUUGGUGGGAAUUGGAAAUUCAGUUUGGAGAUGAGAAUGUGGAGUUGUUUUCUAUGGCGGUUAUGAGUUUGACGAUUUUCAGCCUCGUUUUGGCUAAGAAAGAAUUAGAGUGUUGCUUGUUAAGUUGAGUUAGGAGGAUUGCGGUCUCGAAAACUAAGAAGGGUUAGUGCUAUUGUACUGGCACUUGCAUUUGUGAACCUACAAAAUAUUUGGCCGUUUUCUGUACUGAAUUACAGGCACUGGUUGAAUUUUGUUACAUGUUGCAGAAUGCAAGAAAGUGGCAUAUUAAGAGUCUGUUUGUUUGUUUGUAUCUUUAAGAGCGUUUUGAUGACUAGGAUUCUGAUUAAGUUUUGACGGUUUCUUUUCGAACUUGCCUUCUUACACUCACAAUUUCCAUCCCACUCCUGUCCAACCCUCACUCGUCAUUGUUGUCAAUGCUCGCAAACCUAGUACUCACUUAUCUCUCACACGUUUUGGUACUUAACUUUGAUUGCAAAUUAUAUAUAUUGUACUCUAUAACAUAUAUAAACAAUUGUAAAGAAACUCUGGACCUUUGAUUUGGAAAACCCAAUGGUAAGAGUUGGUCUUUGUGUCCCAAACUGAAAGUGGGAUAAACUUAGAGGGAGUUUGAAAAAGCGUCCAAUCCGUCAAAGAAAUAGUGGCUUUCAGUCUAAUGUUGAUUGGGAUCACAGAGAGACGGUAAGGGAUUCUAAUGACAUCAGUCGAAAUUUCUAAUACAAGGUGAGCUUACACUGCCUUUGUGCCUGUUUCUCUUUGCUUUAGUGCUUUUUGCUCUUUUAUGGGAGAUUCAUAUGGAGCCUGUUAAGGUUAUCGUUUGUGUAGAAAUAUAUUUCUCAAUUCUUAUAUAGUGUCUGGUGGUUGUUAGGGAAGCAGGUGCAGUUCAUGUACAAGCAAAGGUGGAGGCUGUGUAUAUGUAGGUAUACCGUCCCAGGAAAAGGUAAGUUUGCAAUUUUUUGUCUCGAGUAGGUCAAAUCCAAUUAAACGGUGUAAUUUUCUGCCUAUGAUUUAAUUUGAGUUAAUAUGGUGCUUAACUAACACCGUGUCGAUAUAGUUAAGUAAAAUCACAUUCAUUGGGUUCCUUCAUCUUUAUGAACAACUUUUUCGCACUAAGUGAUAUUGGAGAGUGGGGAAUCGAACUUGGGACUUUGGGUGUUAGAAUCUCAUUUCAGUUUCUGUUUUUAACUUUUUACAUGUAGCGCAUCGUUGAAGAUGGACAUUAUUCUCAUGGGUUCAUGGAUUCGAAUAUGUACAUUUUGUGCCCAAAAGAUUCAUAUCUUCACCAACUCUACAAAGAUGCUCAAUCAUGAUUUGUAUCAAAACAUUCUGUAUUUUCUUUUAUUUUUAUGGUAAUUUUAAGGAUAAAUCGAGAUUAAAUACUAAAUCGUGCCCAGGGGCAACUUAUUAGUUUCAUAUAGAAACGGCACCGUAAGGAUAGCAUAUGAUUUUAUUGUUACUUAGUUUAAUAAUCCUCGACUCCUGGGAUGUUUUUAAUAGAUUAAUGGUAGAUUUGUUUAUCUAUAAAUGAUAAGCAAAUAAAUAAAAACAAACACCGUUACCAUCACAGGGAGAGCCUUUUCCCCUCUUCUUGUUCUAUACGGAUUUUUGAGCUAUUUUUUCAACUAUUACAUUCUUUUUCUCUAAUUUUUUUUCGAUUUGGGUUUUGUUUAGAAUUCAAUUCUGUGGUUUGUAAGGCAAAAAGGUUGGAUCUUGUGAGGGUUUUGAUCUGACCAAGAAAGGGAAGAGAAAGACGUAGAGUGAAAGAAACCCAGAAAAAAAGGGUAUGAGCAUUGGAGAAGCAGCUGAAAGGUUUUACAUUUCUUUAUUUUUUUUCUGGGCCAACUGAAAAAGUGCUUAUUCGGUUUUUGGUGCUUAUUGCUUUUAUGGUCAGCUGUGAAGCUUUUGCUUUAGUGGGUUUUGGGUUUUGGUGAUUUCAGCUUCCCCAAGUUGGUUGAGGUACAGAAAGAACUUUUAAAGUUGUUUCUGGUUCUUUGCGUUAUUAUCUAGUACUAGUUUAUUGGAUAGAGAGAAAAUGCUAAUGGCGGAUGUAAUCAUAAUGUUUUCUUGAUAAGUUUAUAGUGGAGUUUUAUUUAUUGGUAUUGUGAUUAUAAGGAAAUGAGAUUCAGUAGAUAAUUUCUAUUUUGAUAAAUUUUCAGGAGGUUUUGAAGUUUAGUCGGUGUGAAGUCAGAGGAAUCUGAAUUUAGUUGGGUUGGUUUUGUUUAGAGGCAGAGAUUGAAAAGGGGAUUUGCAGCUCAAGUUGAUACGUGAGUGACAUUGAGGUGGGGGUUCAAUGCUCCAAACUCAUAGCAUGUUGCUUGAAUUCACAAAUGAAGGCAGCGGUUCUCGAAGCUCCCGACAUUGUUGGGUUAAUAUCUAUGUUUCUUUUGUUCUGGGGUUUUAUGGUUUGAUGGAGAAACAGAUCAUAUCUGAUGCUUGUGGAUGGUUUACCUGUUAUACAGAUGAUGAGGAGAAGAGCAAGGUUGAUAACUUGCCUGCAUUUUGUGAAUUCACAUUUGAGCAAAUUAAAAAUGCGACAUCAGGUUUUGCUGUCGAGUACACUGUGUCUGAGCAAGUAGACAAGGCUCCAAAUGUUGAUUAUAAAGGGAAACCCGAAAAUCAGAAGAGAAUUGCUGUUAAGCGCUUCAAUAGGAUGGCCUGGCCUGAAUGCUCGGCAAUUUUUGGUAGGCAUCCUUUAACUUGGUACUUUUCUAUCUCAGAAAGAUAUUAUUCAGAUACUGUGGUGACGAAAACUGGCCUGCAUUUUCUGCAGAACUAUUGUUUUUAUCUUUGUGUUUUACACUAACGUAACUAUCUGUUGAGAUCUUAUGUGGUUUAAAAUUCGGGUAAUAGGUAACUUUUGGCAUAUAGAAUUCACGAAAUGCAGAGCUGUGUUUCUCUAUGACUGAAAUUUACAUUUAUUUUGGAACCAUACGAUUCUCAUCAAAUGUUUUAUCAGCUCCAUCAAAGGAAGCACGUCAUUUUCUGUCUUCUCUAUUUACAACCACUAUUGUGAAAUGAUUUUCUUUUGGCCCAACGGCAGGAGGAAGCAAGAUUAGUUGGUCAGCUCCGCAGCCAUAGAUUGGUCAACUUGCUCGGUUGUUGUUGUGAAGGUGAUGAGAGGUUGCUUGUGGCGGAAUAUAUGCCCAAUGAAGCACUUGCAUCACAUCUUUUCCAUUGUAAGGCUUACCCAUACUAAUACGAGGUUUUUGGUUACUGAUCUAUGUUGUACUCAUUUUUUAAUGGUUGGAUACUGGAUCCAUUUAGUGUUGCAGUGAAUCAUAACUAAAAAGUAUGAAUGUGAAACAAAGCUAUAGGAAAAAUAUGAUUGAACCUAUAAAUCAUAACUAACAUUCAUCAAUUUGAAAAAUAGAAUAAAUCAGUAAUUCUAUUGAACAUCCACAAUGUAUAACUGACAUUGAAACUCCUAAAUAGAAUCAAAGUAAUAAUAAACUACAUAAUCGUAGUAAAGGUUUUCUCUUUAGCCUUAGCUAGAGAGAUUAUUUCUCCAUAAACGAAAUUAAACAGAGAAUUCUAAAGAUUGAAAACUAACCUUUUUUAUAACAUAAUUGUUUUCAAAUCCCACGAGAGAAAUCAGGACAUGGAAUAAUCCCACUGAAUUCCUAUUUGGCGAUGUCCUCUUAUUUUUUAUGCGUCAAUUGCAAGGAGUGAAGGAUCCUCCUCUGCUUUUGCUUUCACACGUGAGCAGCAUGCCCCUUUAACUUGGGCACUUUAUUCCUAGCCCAUUUGUCAUCUUCUUUUGCCUAGAGUCCAACUAUUCCGUUUCUCAUCUUUUGACAGUGCUACUUAGUACUAUGACAUAUUGAUAUUCUUCAUUUAUAAAUGAGAUGUCUUAAAUUUGAUUCUCGCUAAAUAUUAGUUUGAACUACAUUAUUACUAGCUUAUAGUGAGGAUAAGCCCGCCCCUCUCUCUUUUAGUGUAGAUAAUAUGAUUGUUCAAAAGAAAAAAAAAGUUCAAAUAUUAUAAUUUUGCAACCGAAAACAUUAAAUAUCUCAUUCAUUACUAACAAACAUUUCCAUCAAAAUCAUUAUUUAGACAAGAUUUUUAAAUGCAAAGCUACUAAGGGCACCUAAAUCUUUUCAUUUACGAAGGCAACAUUUAUUUUAUCUUUUUAAAGAUAAAUGAAAUCUUUAGAAAUGUAGAGCUUUAGUUCGGGUGUCCGCACCACCACCCUUGUUGGUCCUUGACUUUCGUUGCUCGCCCUAGUCGGUGAUGUUGCUUGUGGGUUUUUUCUACCUUCGUGCUUCUUUGAUCUCAUGGCGGCUAUACUGGUGUUGGUCUUUGGAGGAUGAUGCGACCUUCGUCUUCACCAAUUCUAGGUUUCUUGAUGGUCUAAUCUCAAAUGAUCAUGGAGGGUGGUCGAUCGUGACGAUCGUGAUGUUAUUGUCUGGCGGCGUCGGCGUCGGCGUCGUAUGCAACUUAAAGAAGCAUAGUUGUCUAGGGUUUUCUGUGUGGUUUGUUUGCAUGUGUUGGGCUCCAAUGUUGGUCUUGGGCCUUUAUCUUCUGUGUGUUGUGGCCCUUUUUCUUGGGAUUACAAAAAUGACUAAUUUUCUUCAUUUUUGGACUUAAAUAGAACAAAUGGGUCAUGCACAAGCCAUGAAUUAAAAAAUGCUACUUUUAUCAUCUAUUUGCACCAUCAUUUGUAUUAUUUCUUUAAUAGAAAUGAGACCCUCAUGCGUUUGUGAGCCCUAUUUAUAUUAGAAAGCUAGUACAACUAGGUGGUAAGUGUAACAUUACUCAUAUAAAUAUCUUUUAGCAAAAUAAAUUAUCAAACAAAAUUAAGAGAAAAUUAGAAAAAUAUAAAGUAAAAUCUUAACUACUUAUUCACAAAUUCUCUUUAUCAAUUAAAAGAGAAUAAACAGACAAUUUAACCUUCAAUCAUAGAAUAGAAUCUCUAAUUUCGCACAAUUCAAUUAAAAGAGCAGAAUGUAAUUUUGAAGAAACCUCACUCACAAGUCACCAUAACAUCUCUAAUUUUUUUAUUUUUUUUAAACAUUUUUCUCUGACUUCCCCUUUUUUAAACUUUUGAUAUUUUCAUCUAGUAAAUUAUUAUUAUUAUUAUUAUUAUUAUAUUCUUAACAGAGAAUCCAAGCGAAAGCAAAAGCAUCACACGAUUAACUCAAAAACCGAAAGGCUGGUGAGGAGGACGACCAUGGCGGCCACUGUCGCUGCUGCCUAUUUCCUCUUGACUGCUGAUUACGGCUCCGAGCCCAACGCUUUCGACCCCGUAAGCUCCUUCUUCUUCCCGCAUUUUCAUCUUCAGAAAUCGAACUUCUGAUCUUGUUACCAAAAGGGUAGCGAGAAAAUGAAAAAUUAAUCUUUGGGUUCACAAUUUAAUUUCUCAGGUGUGCAAUUUAAGCUCACAAAUUUUGGGGUCUUUCCAUUUCGGCUUGGAUUUACAAUUGUUAGUUGUAGAAGGAAUGUGGGUUGUGUAACUGGAAUAGUUUGGUAUAUUUUGUUUUCGCUUUUCAUCGAUUUUGUUCAUGUCUUUUUAGCAAAAUGAUAAUGUGGGUGAGAUUUUGAGUAGUUUUCUCUGCUUGUAUAGUUACCACUCAGUAAUUACAAAUGUUUUGGUAUUUGAUUGCUUAAGACACCCAAAGCGAUCUUUCUAUCAUUUAGAUUUGAUUGUUUAUGACGAAGUCAAAGUUGCUAUUCUAAAAACCUGGAGAAAAUGUGAUUUAGGAAUGCUCUUGGACUGCUAUGCUGUGUAGAUUAUUGACCACUUUCUUUUUUCUUCCCUGAAUGUAGAGAGGAGCAUUUUUAAUCAGUUAGGAACGACGGGUUUUGCAAAAAUUGGUAGUUUAAGGUACCUUAGAGUACGUGAACCUAGUAACUCUACUUGCAUAACCAAUAAAAAGAACAAAACCCAAAAACAACUUAGUAAAUCCUUAAUUGCUGUUUUAUUUGCAUAACCAUACGAUUCCUCAUCAAAUGUUUUAUGAGCUCCAUCAGAGGAAGCACGUCAUUUUCUGUCUUCUCUAUUUACAACCACUAUUGUGAAAUGAUUUUUUU
rnacentral:lncRNA from 1 species